rnacentral:lncRNA from 1 species
AUGCUGUGCUCCCGACUCCUCAUCGGGGCUUUCUCUGUCCUUCGGCUCAGAGAGGAGGCAUCGCCCCACGACAAGGUAGGGUUUCCUCCGCUGGAGACACAGCACAUUCUGACUCACCUAGAGAAUCAUGGCAUCUCGAGGCUACAAGAGACUUUACGGGGGUCAUCUGACCCGCUGCCAACUGGAAAGUGGAGUUUGGUACGGCAGAUGUCUCCAACUUCAGAAGAGAAACUGAGGUACAGAGAGUUUAAGCAACGUGCUCACAAGUUAUUUAGGUGAGUAACUUAGAAAAGUGAAUGGAGGGGCGCCUGGGUGGCUCAGUCGGUUGAGCGUCCGACUUCGGCCAGGUCAUGAUCUCACAGUUUGUGAGUUCGAGCCCCGCGUCGGGCUCUGUGCUGACGGCUCAGAACCUGGAGCCUGCUUCCGAUUCCCUGUCUCCCUCGCUCUCUGCCCCUCCCCCCACACGCUCUGUCUCUCUCUGCCUCUCGAAAAUAAAGAAAACUAAUAAAAAAUUUUUUCUUUGCA